AAAUUGUUGCUCAUUUUAUGGCAAACCUUUUCUACAUCACACAUGCAUAAUAAUUCCUGGUUAUCUCUGGGUAACACAAGCCCCUAGACUGCUAUUAAAAUUACAUUAAAAUAAAAUUAAAAGCUAAUAACUUGAAUUAUUAAUUCUGUACUGGUUUUGGUUGGCAUAGAGUUAAAUUCCUUCACAGUAGCUGGUAUGGGGCUAUGUUUUUUGAUUUGGGAGUGAAAAUAGUGUUGAUAAUACAGGGAUGUUUUAGCUCUUCCUGGGCAGUGCUUAUAACACAGGCAAGGCAUUUUUUGUUUUUCACACCAUCUGACCAGUGAGGAGGUUAAAGGUGCACAAGAAUUUGGGAAAGGAUAGCCAGGAGGGCUGACCCCAGCUGACCAAGAGAUAUUCUAGACCUCACCAAAUCAUGCUCAGCAGUAAAGACUGGGUGGACAGGUGCCACAACUGCCAUUGCCAGGGGACUGGCUGGGGAUCAAUGGGCUGGUGGAGCAAAUAUGCAGCUGUGUCGAGCUGAAGUGAAGGCCAGUGUUAAACUGUGACACCAUCCUGGGAGCUUUCUCUUAGGACUUGCCUAUCAAAGUAUCAUGAUGUGAAAUACUCCGGCUUUUUAAAUCCACUGUUGAUUUACUGUGCUUACAUGCCAUUUCUGGCCUUCUGCUUUUGAGAAGCAAGACCUCUCUCUGUAAUGACACUAUAGUAGCUGCUAGCAUUUCUUCCAAGAAAAAUACAUUUAUUCUGCUAUGAAUAAGCUGAUUUCCUGAAGAGUAGAAUGUAAAGCUUGUUCUUACAUGGAUUGAGCACUGCCAGCAUCAUCUAGUUUUGCAGUGGAGGAAGAAAUUCCCUCUUCAGUAUUUCAGUUCUCCUUGUGAUCAGCCGUAGGCACCACAUUAUGUACUAUACAAUUUGAGUCAGGGAAUGUGAUGCUUCUGGAAGUUCUUAACUUCUUUAAAGUUUUAUUUUCAUUCUGCAUUAUGAUUCCUAAUUUUAGUGAAAAGCUCUUUGGAGGAUUAUAAAAUCAGACUGGAAGCCAAAUAAUAUGAGGAAAAAAAAGAGCAUCAGAAGUAACUUUUUUUCUGUCUAAAAUUAUUUUUCCUCUCUUUCUUCUCAUUUUCUUUCAUUGCCUUUAGAUGUGUGAUACAUGAGUCCUUCUUUUGUAUUACAAUUGUAUAGCCAUAAGACAGGUUGUAGUAUAGAAUCUUCUAUAAGGAUAAUAGGUAGCUACAGUAUAUGUAAUGUAGGAUGCAAGUAUUUAAUAAAUCAGUUCCCAAAAGCA